GAUGAAGAACGCAGCGAAAUGCGAUAAGUAGUGUGAAUUGCAGAAUUCAGUGAAUCAUCGAAUCUUUGAACGCACAUUGCGCCCUUUGGUAUUCCAAAGGGCAUGCCUGUUCGAGCGUCAUUUGUACCCUCAAGCUUUGCUUGGUGUUGGGCGUCUUGUCUCUAGCUUUGCUGGAGACUCGCCUAAAAGUAAUUGGCAGCCGGCCUACUGGUUUCGGAGCGCAGCACAAGUCGCACUCUCUAUCAGCAAAGGUCUAGCAUCCAUUAAGCCUUUUUUUCAACUUUUGACCUCGGAUCAGGUAGGGAUACCCGCUGAACUUAAGCAUAUCAAUAAGCGGAGGA
rnacentral:misc_RNA from 1 species